rnacentral:rRNA from 1 species
UACGAAGGGGGCUAGCGUUGUUCGGAAUCACUGGGCGUAAAGGGCGCGUAGGCGGCUAUUCAAGUCGGGGGUGAAAGCCUGUGGCUCAACCACAGAAUUGCCUUCGAUACUGUUUGGCUUGAGACCGGAAGAGGUUAGUGGAACUGCGAGUGUAGAGGUGAAAUUCGUAGAUAUUAGGAAGAACACCAGUGGCGAAGGCGGCCUUCUGGACAGUGACUGACGCUGAGACGCGAAAGCGUGGGGAGCAAACAGG